UCCAGUGUUACAAACUACAUCCCCCAGGAACACGGAUGACUUCUGGACCAAUCAGAGCGCUCUAUUACAUCCGGGGGAUUUAUUUAUCUCUCCAACGUGCGUUUCGGUGCUCUUACACCGGUGUAAGAAAAGUUCAACAUAAAAAAGCGCAUUAUUUUAGCGACAAAGUUGCUAAAAAAAUCAAACAUAAUCAGACGAAGCAUGCUUUUUAAAGUCAGUGUUGUGUGGAAUGUAUUUGCCUAUAUUUAUUUAUUGUUUUAAAGUGAAUGUUGCUGAAACUUCCAGAAAUGACCGCUAACUUCCGGCGUCGUUAUGACGUAAUGACACGCGCAGUUUAAAAUAAUAUUCGCGUACAGCAUUUUCUCCUCGGCAAAUACAUAUGUUUUUAUUAUUCUCACCAAUAUUUUGUGAAUUAUGCGAUAUAAUUGCAUAUGUGGUCAUUUUUUAUUUUGUAAUCAAUCUAAUUUGUGUCAUGUAUUAUAGUCAGAAGCGUUAUUAUUGAAUACUUUCAGUUAAACCGGGUUAACACUAGGGGGCGCUGUUGCUCUGUGGGGAAAAAAAUCGUAUUAAACGCGCCAUACUUUUAUUAUCUAGAAAGUGACCAAUGUAACCAGCAUUUUAAUCGAUUUUCUUGAGUUCCUUCUCCCAGCGCUACUGCUGCUACGUGAAUAUGACGUAUCAACACAUAACGGAGUUCGAGGCGCGUCCUGAGAGUCACAUAAAAUACAGAUUAACAUGGUAGAGGUAGAGCUGCAUCUUCCUGCAGACACAACAGGAAAGAAGGGACAAGAGGACACACUCUGCCUUUUCUCCUAGAAGAUACAAGAGUGUGGAGAUUGUCGGCCUGAAGGAACGAGGAACGAGUGCAAAGCGUGUUUCAGUGAGCAGGUGGAGUUCAUCCUCCUCCACAGGUAGUGUGCAUUUUGAACAUAACCUGUCCUUCCUGGGGCUCAAGCCUCGGGCUUGUCUCGGAGGGUGGUAGCUCAGCGGUGAAGAUGUUGGACUUGUGAUUGGAAGGUCGUGAGAAACACUCAUCCUCAAUGAUGAUACUGGGGCUUGAACCCCCAACAUUCUGCUACGCUACCCCAAACAUUUAGCGUUGAAUCACAGAUGCUGUUUUCGCACAUCCUUCCUUGUCAGGAAAAGCCGAGGUCAGAGCUCACGGUCAGCCCAUGUACGGCCCCCUGCAGCAGAUCGGCUCAAGUACCUUGCUCAAGGGUCCAACAGUGGCAGAUUUGUGGUGCUGCGGCUUGAACCCCCGACUUUGUACAUUUCCCAUUAGGAUGAAUAAAGAGUCAGUCUGUC